rnacentral:rRNA from 1 species
GCUAUAAACCCUGAAUGCACCCGAUCUCUUCUGAUCUCCAAAGCUAAACAGGGUCUGGCCAGGUUAGUACUUGGAUGGGAGACAUGAAAGACUUGCUAC